ACAACAAUGCCGGCAGUCCGAUUGUAUUACGGACGAAAUUGGGAGAAUUUCGGUUUGAUCCCUUUGCUAGUCGACAAAGCGUCGAUCAAACAGGGCCAACGAGUGACCGGCAUCGCGACGCAAGCGCCGUUAUUUUCGACGUUCGCCGCGCCGAGACGCGUCUCGUAGCCACAACCACCUGUGAGAUUCGCCUACACAACCAGUAGUUCUGUGCGAAAUAACGAAGUUUUUCCGCUAUUUUCUGGCUUAUCGGUCAGUUUUUUCACUAAACUAGUGUUCAACCAGUGGUACUGCGUGUGUAAGUGUUUGGAAACUCUGUACCAAGAGGAUUUCGAAGGACGGCCGCUUCUAUUUGGAACCAUUUGGUAGAGUUCUCGACCGGAUUCCCCUGCCACGCUGCCCAUCGCCUGGAUGGUCCAUAGGAGAUUGAGACUGGAAGUUUUGGUUCGCGCCGACAGGAUUUGAUGCGCUACAAGCUGGAUAUGAUGGUAAGUUUGCCGGUUGUUUAUUUCGUUUCUUUAUAAAGG